GAUGAACGCUGGCGGCGUGCCUAAUACAUGCAAGUCGAGCGAACGGACGAGAAGCUUGCUUCUCUGAUGUUAGCGGCGGACGGGUGAGUAACACGUGGAUAACCUACCUAUAAGACUGGGAUAACUUCGGGAAACCGUAGCUAAUACCGGAUAAUAUUUUGAACCGCAUGGUUCAAAAGUGAAAGACGGUCUUGCUGUCACUUAUAGAUGGAUCCGCGCUGCAUUAGCUAGUUGGUAAGGUAACGGCUUACCAAGGCAACGAUGCAUAGCCGACCUGAGAGGGUGAUCGGCCACACUGGAACUGAGACACGGUCCAGACUCCUACGGGAGGCAGCAGUAGGGAAUCUUCCUCAAUGGGCGAAAGCCUGACGGAGCAACGCCGCGUGAGUGAUGAAGGUCUUCGGAUCGUAAAACUCUGUUAUUAGGGAAGAACAUAUGUGUAAGUAACUGUGCACAUCUUGACGGUACCUAAUCAGAAAGCCACGGCUAACUACGUGC
rnacentral:rRNA from 1 species